UCUACAAAUACCAGACUGCUCUGUCCGUUCCCCCUCUUCCACUCGUCUCGCCAUUAACAAAAGGGCGGAAGCUCCGGGAAACAAUUUUCUUCGUCCAAAUCCUCCAGACAAAGCCCUAUCACCUCAGUCCCAAACUCAGCUAACUCUCUCUCACGCGCGCGCGCGCCCCCCUCAGCGUGGAAUUUAUGCCCGAAUUUUCUGCCAAAUUGGGUUCACCGGCCAUUCGUGGCAGGAGUUCGGGAUAGAGCUCGCGGGGAUGAGGCUGCACGGGGAUAUGUCGGAUGACGAAGAGGAUGCAGUGAUGGAUCCAGCACUGCUGUCAUCGUCGUCGCCCAACGGCGCGGCAGUGGCGGCUGUCGUCGCUGCGCCGAGGCUGGUGGUGGGCUACGCCCUCACGAAUAAGAAGGUGAAGAGCUUCCUCCAGCCCAAGCUGCUCUUGCUGGCGAGGAAGAAAGGAAUUAGUUUCGUAUCAAUUGAUGAGACUCAUCCUCUCUCCGAGCAAGGACCAUUUGAUAUUAUCCUGCACAAGAAAACUAGCAAGGAGUGGCAGCGGGUUCUGGAGGAUUAUCAUGAAGUGCAUCCAGAAGUCACUGUUCUUGACCCACCCAAUGCCAUCGAGCAUCUAAACAAUCGACAAUCGAUGCUUGAAGAAGUAGCAGAUUUGAACCUGUCCAGUUUCUAUGAAGAAGUUUGCACUCCACGUCAACUGGUCAUUAUGAAAGAUCCGUCCUCUAUACCAACUGCAGUUGCCAUGGCUGGACUAACCUUGCCAUUAGUUGCCAAGCCAUUGGUUGUUGAUGGAACUUCAAAAUCUCAUGAGCUAUCUCUUGCAUACGACGAGGCAGCGUUGUCAAUGCUGGAUCCACCUCUGGUACUCCAGGAAUUUGUGAAUCAUGGCGGGAUCCUCUUUAAGGUGUACAUCAUUGGUGAAGCAAUACAGGUUGUCCGCAGGUUUUCUGUUCCUGAUGUUAACACCUAUGACUUACUAAACAAUGUUGGCAUCUAUCGACUUCCAAGAGUUUCAUGUGCUGCAGCUAGUGCAGACCAUGCAGACCUUGAUCCUCGUAUUGCAGAGCUUCCUCCAAGACCACUUCUAGAGAAACUGAGCAGGGAGCUACGUGGUCGGCUGGGUCUGAGAUUGUUCAACGUAGAUAUGAUUAGAGAACUUGGAGCAAAUGAUCGGUACUAUAUAAUUGAUAUCAAUUACUUCCCAGGUGUGUAGAUAUUUUGUCUGUCACGUGGCUUUGCAUUUCUUUUGUUCUGUCAAUGUGUUCAUGAAGAACUUGCUAGGCGAAACAAUUUUAUCCCAGCCGAGGGGGAAAGAAGUGUAUCAACCCGAGAUGUCUCUGGCCAUGUAGGCCAGUUUAACACUGUUCCAGUAGGGAUAUCUUCUCCACUAACCAAGGUUGACUUGGUUGGAGCAUGAGUAGAGUCUUGCUAACUGUAUGUUGUUCAGCCCAGGGGCAGAUUGUUCCAACUCUUUACAGGGUAUGGGAAAAUGCCAGGCUAUGAACACAUAUUCACUGACUUCUUGCAAAGUCUUGGGCAAAACAAUUAUAAAAGGAGCUUGAGCGAGGGCUGAAGUGCGAGGAAGUUUGUGAGUGAACAACAGGAGAGCAUGUAUGGGUGGAAGCCAUACUUUUUCAGAAAUGUAUAUAUCUGGGAUAUAAGGUGGAACCCACCAAAGGCUUGAAGAAGUCCCAAACUCACAGUGCUGGUCUUCUCAGAACUCACAAGUGGCGCCACAUACAGGGUCAGGGACUAAGGGGAUAAAGAAGAAGAAAAGCUCGAAUGACCUCGAGCCCUUGUUUGUAUAAAUCGGUGAAUAUUGUAUUCUGGGUGCCUUUGUGUAGGAUUGUUUUGAUUUUUGAACAUAGCUUGGUGAUCCUCUCGUCA